UACGUAGGGUGCGAGCGUUGUCCGGAAUUAUUGGGCGUAAAGAGCUCGUAGGCGGUGUGUCACGUCGGCCGUGAAAACCCGUGGCUCAACCCCGGGCCUGCAGUCGAUACGGGCAGACUAGAGUGCGGUAGGGGAGACUGGAAUUCCUGGUGUAGCGGUGAAAUGCGCAGAUAUCAGGAGGAACACCGGUGGCGAAGGCGGGUCUCUGGGCCGUAACUGACGCUGAGGAGCGAAAGCGUGGGGAGCGAACAGG
rnacentral:rRNA from 1 species